GAUGAACGCUGGCGGCGUGCCUAAUACAUGCAAGUCGAGCGAACAGACGAGGAGCUUGCUCCUCUGACGUUAGCGGCGGACGGGUGAGUAACACGUGGAUAACCUACCUAUAAGACUGGGAUAACUUCGGGAAACCGGAGCUAAUACCGGAUAAUAUGUUGAACCGCAUGGUUCAAUAGUGAAAGACGGUUUUGCUGUCACUUAUAGAUGGAUCCGCGCCGCAUUAGCUAGUUGGUAAGGUAACGGCUUACCAAGGCGACGAUGCGUAGCCGACCUGAGAGGGUGAUCGGCCACACUGGAACUGAGACACGGUCUAGACUCCUACGGGAGGCAGCAGUAGGGAAUCUUCCGCAAUGGGCGAAAGCCUGACGGAGCAACGCCGCGUGAGUGAUGAAGGUCUUCGGAUCGUAAAACUCUGUUAUUAGGGAAGAACAAAUGUGUAAGUAACUAUGCACGUCUUGACGGUACCUAAUCAGAAAGCCACGGCUAACUACGUG
rnacentral:rRNA from 1 species